rnacentral:lncRNA from 1 species
GUCCUGUCCUAUAAAGGUAAGAGGUAGAUAAUAACCUAUUCUGGCAAAACUGGUUCUUGCCCACACCAUUUGAAAAGUCUAGAACCUGAUUGUAAAUGAAAGGAUUCUUGACAACUACUGUUUGGCACUUGAUCUUUGACUCCAAUGCCAAACUUGGAGAAGACAGCAUGUUUCCACUGUUCUGAAAACAGUAGCUAAUCUGUGCUUCCCUUUGCUGUCUCGAGUAUAGUAAAACAUUUAUGAGGUACAGAGGCUUGCAGAAAAGUAUUUUAGAAGUGGAGUCAGAACUCUACUGUGGAAAGGGGGCUGAGAGAAUCAUGAAUCCGAUUCCUUCUCUUGCCAGAGGAAACUCAGAUUUGUGAUGUGGUUUCUCUGGGUAAACAUGAGUAAGUAACAGAAGAGAUCAGUAAAACUCUGGUCCACUGCUUAGAAAUUUGUGUUUUAUGACCUCACCUCUGCAAGGGAAAUAAGCAUGAAGACAGCGCUUUUCCUCCCACUAUUUUUAAAACUCAGAUGAGCAGGUGUUCUAUUGCUCCACGUGGUGCGCUUUUGAACUGAGAGGGACUGAGGACGGAGAAGCCAGAGUAGCACUGCCCCCACCCCGUGCCACCUGAAACUCAUCAUGCUGCUUUCUUUGGAGCGGCUGCCAAUUUAAAAGAAGACUUAAGGGGUUUCAUUUGGCUCUGUGAUUCUGCUGGAAGGAGGCCUGAGUAAGGUUGAGCUGAGGUUGCAGAGGAAAGGGGCCGUUUGUCCCACAACCUGAACAAAACAGAACUAUGAUGAAGCAGCAUUGUCCAUCUGAGAUGAAGAAGAUGAGACUCAGAGCAAUACAUAAGUUGCCCAAGGUCAGAGAGCAAGUAAGUACCAGAAAGAAAAGCCAGAUAAAUCUCAUUCCCAUAUCCUUGCUCUUUCAAUGAUGUUUCAGAGUUCAUUACAAAAAGAAUUGUUCUGUGUGCUCAGGAUAAAUUACUACCUACUAAAUUUAACCAUAGGGCAGUCUUAUAAACAGGGUAGAGUAUGCAGUUAAGAUAAAAUUUGAGAGGAAAAAGUUAAAUUAAAAUAGUACAUAACCAAUGAUCAGAAUAUUCUCAGUAUUUUAGAAAUUUAUGUAAGAAUAAACUAGAUACUGAUAAAAAAAGUCACAUUCUUUAUGCACAAAUCUUGUAAGUAGCUACUGUUAAAGAGAGGAUAUUAUUUACC